rnacentral:rRNA from 1 species
UACGGAGGGUGCAAGCGUUGUUCGGAUUCAUUGGGCGUAAAGGGUGCGUAGGCGGCGUGGUAAGUCGGGUGUGAAAUCUCGGAGCUUAACUCCGAAACUGCAUUCGAUACUGCGGUGCUUGAGGACUGGAGAGGAGACUGGAAUUCAUGGUGUAGCAGUGAAAUGCGUAGAGAUCAUGAGGAAGACCAGUGGCGAAGGCGGGUCUCUGGACAGUUCCUGACAGCUGA